GGCAGUUUAGCUUAAUGAUAGAGUACUCAGCUGGUUUUUGAGGGGUGAGGGUUCAAGUCCCAUGUCUGUUU
rnacentral:tRNA from 1 species